AACCAACCCUAAUCUCAAAUUUUUCACCCUCAAAACAAAACAGUCGCCUCCACAGCCCUCUCUCCUCUCUCACCAGAAAAUAAUAACCACAUCAAGCCACCCCGCCGCCUCUCACUAGUCGGCGGAACCCCACUUUCCUUCUCUUCUUUCUCUUUCUCCGGCGACUUCACCAAAUGAACGUCGUUUAACAAACAAAACCCCACAAUAGACACUGCUUCCACCACCGGCGAAUCCAAGCCAGCUGCACCUCUGCCAAAAUAAUACCGGAUCUCCGUAGGCAAACCCAACAAAAAAACCACUAUCGUCGCUGCUCCAUCAACGAAAACAUCUUGCUAUCUGGCACGUGAGAUUUUUAGUACUUGAAUUUCCAAAAAACCACCGUCGUAAGAUUGAUAAAUGUUAUGGGUUUUAUGGAGUGUCUCAACGUCUCCUUUUAGCUCUAGAAUUUUAAGGUCUUCCGAUCGACAGAGUUCUGCACACUGCUGAGUUAGCUGAUUCAUAGCCUUAGACUUCUGUUUAACUUCAUUAGUCUUUAGCUUUUCUAUUUCAUUACCCAUACUGUCCACUUUCAUUGAAAGCGUAGUUAGGGUUUUGAGUAUCUUUUCUAAAGCAUCAUCUUCUAUUAUAUCAGUCUGUGUAGCUUUGUCUUGAUAUGCAAUCUGGAAUAACAUUUUUGUUUGUACUAAUUACUUCAAUUGUAAGUGUAAAAUUUAAUAUAUUCAAUACUAGUCUUAAAAUUUC